CUGACUCGGUGCCAUGUGGGACGUCAUGCUGGCAAUCCGCGUGCCCGCGAUCGAAUGGUUUGGAUUUGUUCCCGCGUGCGUGAACGGUCCGGAUCCGUUCUCUCCUCAGGUGGGAUCAGACAGUCCAAAUUCGUUUUUUAUUUAAAUGCGAUCGUACGAUUCAGAUCAAAUCGCGAUGAACGGUUUAUAUUUAUUUCUUUUUUGAACGCGAUCAGACGGUCGAGAUCAAACGCUAUAAACAUCACAAAUUUAAGAGAGACAGGUAUAAAUAU
rnacentral:lncRNA from 1 species